rnacentral:rRNA from 1 species
GAUGAACGCUAGCUACAGGCUUAAUACAUGCAAGUCGCGGGGCAGCAUGGGGGUUGCUUGCAAUCCCCGAUGGCGACCGGCGCACGGGUGAGUAACGCGUAUCCAACCUGCCCUUCACCACGGGAUAACCCGGCGAAAGUCGGACUAAUACCGUAUGUUGUCCAUUGACGGCAUCCGAUUUGGACGAAAGGUUUGGCGGUGAAGGAUGGGGAUGCGUCCGAUUAGCUGGACGGCGGGGUGACGGCCCACCGUGGCGACGAUCGGUAGGGGUUCUGAGAGGAAGGUCCCCCACACUGGAACUGAGACACGGUCCAGACUCCUACGGGAGGCAGCAGUGAGGAAUAUUGGUCAAUGGGCGUAAGCCUGAACCAGCCAAGUAGCGUGCAGGAUGACGGCCCUAUGGGUUGUAAACUGCUUUUAUGCGGGGAUAAAGUGGCCCACGUGUGGGUUUUUGCAGGUACCGCAUGAAUAAGGACCGGCUAAUUCCGUG